rnacentral:rRNA from 1 species
GCUACCUGCAACAUUUGUGGACAUGGGACAGAAAAUGAAUAUCAUGCAGUGAUUAUGUGUACCAAGAGCAGAGCAUUAAGAGCUGCUAUGAGAGAGGUUUGGAGCUUACCUGCUGAAAACAAGUUCUGGUUCACAGGUGAAAACUGGCUGCAAGUAAUGCUGGACUCAGAAAGCGAGGAAACACGCGCCAAGAUCCUGAUGUUAAUCUGGCGAUGCUGGCAUCUCAGGGAGGACUGCGUGCGAAAUAACGGCAGAGAGACAAUCAGUAGCUCAGUGCAGUUUCUGAAAAAUUAUGAGGAAGAAUUAAGAAUGGCAGAGGCAUCAGCUGAGUGGACGAGUGGAAAGACUGCAGAAAACUUCGGCCGGAACGGAACUCUGAAUACUGCACAUCUUGUGCAUGCAGUUGAACGCUCUGAAGAAAAGUGGAUCCCGCCAGUACGAGGUACAGUUAAGAUCAACACGGACGCAACAUAUCUAGCAGAGACAGGAGAAAGCGCGGCUGGCGCAGUCGGCGAGACUACCAAGGCUCGGUCCUCAAAUCAGUCUGCAAGAAAUUGCCACUGUGCCAAAGCGUUGAGGAGGCGGAAGCUCGAGCCAUUCUGA